rnacentral:rRNA from 1 species
UACGUAGGUGGCAAGCGUUGUCCGGAAUUACUGGGUGUAAAGGGCGUGUAGGCGGGUCUGCAAGUCAGGUGUGAAAUUCAAGGGCUUAACCCUUGACCUGCAUUUGAGACUGCGGAUCUUGAGUGAUGGAGAGGUAAGUGGAAUUCCUAGUGUAGCGGUGAAAUGCGUAGAUAUUAGGAGGAACACCAGUGGCGAAGGCGACUUACUGGACAUUAACUGACGCUGAGGCGCGAAAGCGUGGGGAGCAAACAGGAUUAGAUACCCUGGUAGUCCACGCCGUAAACGAUGGAUACUAGGUGUGGGGGGACUGACCCCUUCCGUGCCGGAGUUAACACAAUAAGUAUCCCACCUGGGGAGUACGGUCGCAAGAUUAAA